rnacentral:tRNA from 1 species
UCCCUGGUGAUCCAGUGGUUAGGACUCUGUGCUUUCACUGCUGAGGGCACAGGUUCAACCCCUGGUUGGGGAA